rnacentral:rRNA from 1 species
UACGAAGGGGGCUAGCGUUGCUCGGAAUCACUGGGCGUAAAGGGUGCGUAGGCGGGUCUUUAAGUCAGGGGUGAAAUCCUGGAGCUCAACUCCAGAACUGCCUUUGAUACUGGGAAGCUCGAGUCCGAGAGAGGUGAGUGGAACUGCGAGUGUAGAGGUGAAAUUCGUAGAUAUUGGGAAGAACACCGGUGGCGAAGGCGGCUCUCUGGACCGACACUGACGCUGAGGCGCGAAAGCGUGGGGAGCAAACAGG